UACAGAGGUCCCAAGCGUUGUUCGGAUUCAUUGGGCGUAAAGGGUGCGUAGGCGGCUUGUUACGUCGACUGUGAAAUACCCACGGCUCAACCGUGUGGUCUGCAGUCGAUACGGGCAGGCUAGAAUUCGGUAGGGGAGACUGGAAUUCCUGGUGUAGCGGUGAAAUGCGCAGAUAUCAGGAGGAACACCGAUGGCGAAGGCAGGUCUCUGGGCAUUAACUGACGCUGAGGAGCGAAAGCAUGGGGAGCGAACAGG
rnacentral:rRNA from 1 species